AAAAUAGUCCCUCUAUCCUAAAUUUUUUGUAUUUGUCUAGAUACGGAUGUAUAUAAUCUCGUUUUAGUGUUACAUACAUCUGUAUUUAGAAAAAUCUAAAGCAAGAAUUUUAGGACGGGGGUAAUAAUAA
rnacentral:pre_miRNA from 1 species